rnacentral:rRNA from 1 species
CGUGCCAGCAGCCGCGGUAAUACGGAGGAUGCAAGCGUUAUCCGGAAUGAUUGGGCGUAAAGCGUCCGCAGGUGGUUUUGAAAGUCUGCUGUUAAAGCGUCAGGCUCAACCUGAUAAGGGCAGUGGAAACUAUGAGACUAGAGUGCGUUAGGGGCAGAGGGAAUUCCCAGUGUAGCGGUGAAAUGC